GACGAACGCUGGCGGCGCGCCUAACACAUGCAAGUCGAACGAGCGAGAGAGAGCUUGCUUUCUUGAGCGAGUGGCGAACGGGUGAGUAACGCGUGAGGAACCUGCCUCAAAGAGGGGGACAACAGUUGGAAACGACUGCUAAUACCGCAUAAGCCCACGGUGCCGCAUGGCACAGAGGGAAAGUGAGCAAUCCGCUUUGAGAUGGCCUCGCGUCCGAUUAGCUAGUUGGUGAGGUAACGGCCCACCAAGGCGACGAUCGGUAGCCGGACUGAGAGGUUGAACGGCCACAUUGGGACUGAGACACGGCCCAGACCCCUACGGGAGGCAGCAGUGGGGAAUAUUGCAGAAUGGGGGCAACCCUGAUGCAGCGACGCCGCGUGGAGGAAGAAGGUCUUCGGAUUGUAAACUCCUGUUGUUGGGGAAGAUAAUGACGGUAACCAAUAAGGAAGUGACGGCUAACUACGUG
rnacentral:rRNA from 1 species